GCUGGGUGUGGUAGUGCACGCCUGUAAUCCCAGCAGCUGGGGAGGCUGAGGCAGGAGGAUCUCAAGUUCAAAGCCAGCCUCAGCAACGGAGUGAGGCCUUAAGCAACUUAUUGAGACCCUGUCCCAA
rnacentral:sRNA from 1 species